AACGUAGGGGGCAAGCGUUGUCCGGAAUAACUGGGCGUAAAGGGCGUGUAGGCGGCCUUGAAAGUCAGUCGUGAAAUCCAUCGGCUUAACCGAUGGCUGGCGAUUGAAACUACAGAGCUUGAGUGCAGUAGAGGGGAGUGGAAUUCCCAGUGUAGCGGUGAAAUGCGUAGAUAUUGGGAGGAACACCAGUGGCGAAAGCGGCUCCCUGGCCUGUAACUGACGCUGAGGCGCGAAAGCGUGGGUAGCAAAC
rnacentral:rRNA from 1 species